CGUCGGCAGAAGCAGCGCGAGCAGCGGGAGCGGGCGGCGGCGGCAUCUCCAGAGAGGAGAGCGUCUCCUCUACAAGGGGCUCUGGCCCGCCUCCAACUCCAUCCACGGCAACAAUUUUUGCCUGCGAGGCAUCCCGUGCGGCAGCACCUCGUCCACGCUUCCCCUUCGGACGGCCUUUUCGUCCGACACUUACGCUACCUCGACUGCUGGCAGAUUCACUGCCCGAGCAUCCACCCUCCGUCUCCAUCGGAGAUGGAGCCAUCGCCCACCUACCCUCUAAACUUUUCCUCGAGCAAGCUCACUUACCCGAUAAGAAAGCUUAGGCGGUACACGCACAGCUGAUGCGCGAGAGUAAUCACGCGCGGGAGAGGGAACACCUGCGCUCUCGCGAAAGCUCUCUCACGAAAGCGCUCUCUCGAAAGCGCUCUCUCGAAAGCGCUCUCCUAAGCACACGCGGCGUGCACGUGUAUGGAAUUUUCCCAAAAGGAAAACGCCGAUUUCCGCGUUCGUCGCUAAUUUUCCGCAAAUAUUUUUGCACCACCGUAUUCCUUUCGUUAAGGCACGAAUUUUAACGCAAAAUUUGUCUUUGUACACCAAGUACUUCUCAAGAUAUGACGAAAUGACUGGGACCACGAGAAAACACACGUCCGUCGUUAAUCCAUUCAUGCGCGUCACUAAUUAGAUGACGAGGCAUUUGGCUACCUUAAGAGAGUCAUAGUUACUCCCGCCGUUGACCCGCGCUUACUUGAAUUUCUUCACUUUGACAUUCAGAGCACUGGGCAGAAAUCACAUUGUGUCAACACCCGCUAGGGCCAUCACAAUGCUUUGUUUUAAUUAGACAGUCGGAUUCCCCAAGUCCGUGCCAGUUCUGAAUUGAUUGUUAAUUGAUAAUCGUUAUAAUUAAUAAGAACUAAUUGGUUUAACCCAAUUAGUAUUCUUAAAAAUUUUAGCAAGAAAGUUCCACAAUUGGCUACGUAACUAAACUAUCCGGGGAACAAGUGACCAACAUAAAUGCCAGACACUCUAUUUACCCAGAACGAGCACAUAAACCAUGUUAUUGUUUCCCAAUCAAGCCCGACUAUCUCAAUCUUCAGAGCCAAUCCUUAUCCCGAAGUUACGGAUCUAAUUUGCCGACUUCCCUUACCUACAUUAUUCUAUCGACUAGAGACUCUUCACCUUGGAGACCAGCUGCGGAUAUUGGUACGGCCUGUUGAGAAGUUUGCGUGUCCCCACCAUAAAUUUUCAAGGUCCGAGGAGAAAAUAUCGACACAACAGUAUAUGUCAUGCUCUUCUAGCCCAUCUACCAUAUCUCUCUGCGAAAGACUUCCAUGGUAGUACGGCUAUAAAACAGAAAAGAAAACUCUUCCGAUAUCUCUCGACGGCUUCUUUAUGGUCGUUCCUGUUGCCAGGAUGAGCACGAGGCCCAUAUUUAAUAACAAACGGAUACUCAACAGGUUACGGAAUUGGAACCGUAUUCCCUUUCGUUCAAAAUUAUUCAAGUAUAUUAAUUAGCUUGAUUUAUAUAAUAUAAUAUAUUUGUAUGGCAUUUGUGUUUUACUUGAAAAUUUUCGGCUUUCGCCUUGAACUUAGGACCGACUAACUCGUGAUCAACCACUGUUCACACGAAACCCUUCUCCACUUCAGUCCUCCAAGGUCUCAUUCGAUUAUUUGCUACUACCACCAAGAUCUGUACCAAUGGCAGCUCCAUGCAGGCUUGCGCCAAACACUUCUACGCAUACCAUUGUACCUUCCUACUCACUAAAGUUUCAAAAUUUAUAUCACAAGUAAUAUAAAUCAUCUACUUUAGCGGUAAUGUAUAGGUAUACAACUUAAGCGCCAUCCAUUUUAAGGGCUAGUUGCUUCGGCAGGUGAGUUGUUACACACUCCUUAGCGGAUUUCGACUUCCAUGAUCACCGUCCUGCUGUUUUAAGCAACCAACGCCUUUCAUGGUAUCUGCAUGAGUUGUUAAUUUGGGCACCGUAACAUUACGUUUGGUUCAUC